rnacentral:lncRNA from 1 species
UGUCGUGCUGGUGGUGGUGGUGGUGGUGGUGGUGGUGGUGAUGAUGAUGAUUCUCCUUAUUAUUUAUAUUAUUAUGGCGCACAGCUGAUGAGGAGGCGAUGGUUAUGGAUGGGGCCUCACUCCGAUAUACAUACAUGGCUGUUGCUGGUUCGGUACUGGUCACCUGCCAUCAUUCCUUGCAUACAUACAUACGUAAACGCACAUGCAAGCACAUGCACCACCGGCGGUAUAUCCACACACCAACACACACACACACACACACACACUCUCUCUCUCUCUCUCUCUCAAAAACUAAUCCAUACACACACACACAUACAUACACACACAUACAUACACACACUCUCUCAAAAACGUCCCCCCAACAAUUGUAUCUCUGUGUUUGUGAGGUUGGGAAAGAUUCACCCGCCCCCUAACAUUCACCAGCUCCCACACCGUGUACAUGUGCUGAUGUACUACUCGGUACUGCUGUAUUGCCGGACCUUGGACCACUCUUCAGAUGCGAAUGUACAUGCCAUGCAAAGCUGCUGCAUUUGUGCGCUGCGUGUUGUGUUCCUCACACGCGGCUGUUGAAUUCCAGUUCUUUCGACCGUAAGAGGCAGGAUGCACCCCCAUGCCGGCGUUGGACAGCGAUGGACCUGGUUAUAGCGACCUGCGGAACCGAUUGGGAGUGGAGUUGACGCUGCUGCCGUUGAUCCCGCAGAUUCCGCUGGAAUUUGGUGGUGCGUGCUCAACACCAAAAAGCCGCUGACGUUGCAUGAGCCGGCAUGCAUGCGAUGGAUGAGUUCUCCCCCAAACAUGUGGAAAGGUAGGACUGCCCGGCUAUUGUCCGUGGGCAAAGCUGUACCCCCCUACACCACACAUUUAUGUUCUGCAUCUGUGCAUGUGAGUUGGGCAUGUGUAUCUAUCUCUGAUAGGAAAGCCACCUCAUGAACCUGCUUGCGUGAGCAAACCCCGGACGACCGUUACACAUUUGCUUACAGCUCCCUUUCCUAUCCUCUCCUUUCCCAUCCAAAGCCCAUCGUCAUAUCUUCCUCGCCUUCUCUCCUCCCUGUCUGCGCUUGUUGGCGUGUGCCCACGAUUUCAUCAAAAGUGUUCCUGCAGUCGAUCACGAUGGGACUCGAACCCACAAUCCCCGCCUGAAUCCCUGGCGUAAAACCGGAGGGCGAUGCCUUAUCCAUUAGGCCACGCGACCACCGCGAUGACACGCAGCACACACAUCGGUUCUCAUACGCCCCGUUGCUAGACGACAUGGGAGCUGCGAGUCUGCGCGGCCCCAUCCCACAAUCACAUCACCUUCACGGGCGUGUUUUGCUGGGCACACGGGGGCAUUUAGGCGUGGCCGACCGGUUGUCGGGGCAAGGAUAUUAUUCUCAAUAUGUGCGGGUGCACAUUCUGUUCGUUGCAUUCUGUUCCCCACUGCACCGAACAUCGUCCCCCUAUGUGUGUGUGCAUAUGCAUGUGUCGGGCAGGGAGAGGUCAUCACCGCUCGCUGCAUGUGCUAGUACUGGGGCUGCAUGCAUGCCUGUUUUCGUAGGUGCUGGCCAGAAGGCUCAAGAGUACCAAGUACAGGCGGUCUUGGGCGUGUAGUGGAUGUCCUUUGGCGUGUUGAGCGCCUCUACCCCAAAGUGGGGGAAAGGAAGCGCCGCAAAUUUGUUGAUUUGCAUACCGCCGUUGUAGGCUUUUGCUCGAUGCUGCUGAUGAGAGGAGAGGAGAGGCCCCGACUUGCUGCAAUCCGCACCAUCCGCAUGACUCUCAUUUGACUCACCAUCGUCAGAUGGUCAUGGUUGUCGUGGUGGUGGUGAUGGUUGUCGUGCUGGUGGUGGUGGUGCUGGUGGUGGUGGUGGUGAUGAUGAUGAUUCUCCUUAUUAUUUAUAUUAUUAUGGCGCACAGCUGAUGAGGAGGCGAUGGUUAUGGAUGGGGCCUCACUCCGAUAUACAUACAUGGCUGUUGCUGGUUCGGUACUGGUCACCUGCCAUCAUUCCUUGCAUACAUACAUACGUAAACGCACAUGCAAGCACAUGCACCACCGGCGGUAUAUCCACACACCAACACACACACACUCUCUCUCUCUCUCUCUCUCUCAAAAACUAAUCCAUACACACACACACACAUACAUACACACACUCUCUCAAAAACGUCCCCCCAACAAUUGUAUCUCUGUGUUUGUGAGGUUGGGAAAGAUUCACCCGCCCCCUAACAUUCACCAGCUCCCACACCGUGUACAUGUGCUGAUGUACUACUCUGUACUGCUGUAUUGCCGGACCUUGGACCACUCUUCAGAUGCGAAUGUACAUGCCAUGCAAAGCUGCUGCAUUUGUGCGCUGCGUGUUGUGUUCCUCACACGCGGCUGUUGAAUUCCAGUUCUUUCGACCGUAAGAGGCAGGAUGCACCCCCAUGCCGGUGUUGGACAGCGAUGGACCUGGUUAUAGCGACCUGCGGAACCGAUUGGGAGUGGAGUUGACGCUGCUGCCGUUGAUCCCGCAGAUUCCGCUGGAAUUUGGUGGUGCGUGCUCAACACCAAAAAGCCGCUGACGUUGCAUGAGCCGGCAUGCAUGCGAUGGAUGAGUUCUCCCCCAAACAUGUGGAAAGGUAGGACUGCCCGGCUAUUGUCCGUGGGCAAAGCUGUACCCCCCUACACCACACAUUUAUGUUCUGCAUCUGUGCAUGUGAGUUGGGCAUGUGUAUCUAUCUCUGAUAGGAAAGCCACCUCAUGAACCUGCUUGCGUGAGCAAACCCCGGACGACCGUUACACAUUUGCUUACAGCUCCCUUUCCUAUCCUCUCCUUUCCCAUCCAAAGCCCAUCGUCAUAUCUUCCUCGCCUUCUCUCCUCCCUGUCUGCGCUUGUUGGCGUGUGCCCACGAUUUCAUCAAAAGUGUUCCUGCAGUCGAUCACGAUGGGACUCGAACCCACAAUCCCCGCCUGAAUCCCUGGCGUAAAACCGGAGGGCGAUGCCUUAUCCAUUAGGCCACGCGACCACCGCGNNNNNNNNNNNNNNNNNNNNNNNNNNNNNNNNNNNNNNNNNNNNNNNNNNNNNNNNNNNNNNNNNNNNNNNNNNNNNNNNNNNNNNNNNNNNNNNNNNNNNNNNNNNNNNNNNNNNNNNNNNNNNNNNNNNNNNNNNNNNNNNNNNNNNNNNNUAAUCCAUACACACACACACACAUACAUACACACACUCUCUCAAAAACGUCCCCCCAACAAUUGUAUCUCUGUGUUUGUGAGGUUGGGAAAGAUUCACCCGCCCCCUAACAUUCACCAGCUCCCACACCGUGUACAUGUGCUGAUGUACUACUCUGUACUGCUGUAUUGCCGGACCUUGGACCACUCUUCAGAUGCGAAUGUACAUGCCAUGCAAAGCUGCUGCAUUUGUGCGCUGCGUGUUGUGUUCCUCACACGCGGCUGUUGAAUUCCAGUUCUUUCGACCGUAAGAGGCAGGAUGCACCCCCAUGCCGGUGUUGGACAGCGAUGGACCUGGUUAUAGCGACCUGCGGAACCGAUUGGGAGUGGAGUUGACGCUGCUGCCGUUGAUCCCGCAGAUUCCGCUGGAAUUUGGUGGUGCGUGCUCAACACCAAAAAGCCGCUGACGUUGCAUGAGCCGGCAUGCAUGCGAUGGAUGAGUUCUCCCCCAAACAUGUGGAAAGGUAGGACUGCCCGGCUAUUGUCCGUGGGCAAAGCUGUACCCCCCUACACCACACAUUUAUGUUCUGCAUCUGUGCAUGUGAGUUGGGCAUGUGUAUCUAUCUCUGAUAGGAAAGCCACCUCAUGAACCUGCUUGCGUGAGCAAACCCCGGACGACCGUUACACAUUUGCUUACAGCUCCCUUUCCUAUCCUCUCCUUUCCCAUCCAAAGCCCAUCGUCAUAUCUUCCUCGCCUUCUCUCCUCCCUGUCUGCGCUUGUUGGCGUGUGCCCACGAUUUCAUCAAAAGUGUUCCUGCAGUCGAUCACGAUGGGACUCGAACCCACAAUCCCCGCCUGAAUCCCUGGCGUAAAACCGGAGGGCGAUGCCUUAUCCAUUAGGCCACGCGACCACCGCGAUGACACGCAGCACACACAUCGGUUCUCAUACGCCCCGUUGCUAGACGACAUGGGAGCUGCGAGUCUGCGCGGCCCCAUCCCACAAUCACAUCACCUUCACGGGCGUGUUUUGCUGGGCACACGGGGGCAUUUAGGCGUGGCCGACCGGUUGUCGGGGCAAGGAUAUUAUUCUCAAUAUGUGCGGGUGCACAUUCUGUUCGUUGCAUUCUGUUCCCCACUGCACCGAACAUCGUCCCCCUAUGUGUGUGUGCAUAUGCAUGUGUCGGGCAGGGAGAGGUCAUCACCGCUCGCUGCAUGUGCUAGUACUGGGGCUGCAUGCAUGCCUGUUUUCGUAGGUGCUGGCCAGAAGGCUCAAGAGUACCAAGUACAGGCGGUCUUGGGCGUGUAGUGGAUGUCCUUUGGCGUGUUGAGCGCCUCUACCCCAAAGUGGGGGAAAGGAAGCGCCGCAAAUUUGUUGAUUUGCAUACCGCCGUUGUAGGCUUUUGCUCGAUGCUGCUGAUGAGAGGAGAGGAGAGGCCCCGACUUGCUGCAAUCCGCACCAUCCGCAUGACUCUCAUUUGACUCACCAUCGUCAGAUGGUCAUGGUUGUCGUGGUGGUGGUGAUGGUUGUCGUGCUGGUGGUGGUGGUGCUGGUGAUGAUGAUGAUUCUCCUUAUUAUUUAUAUUAUUAUGGCGCACAGCUGAUGAGGAGGCGAUGGUUAUGGAUGGGGCCUCACUCCGAUAUACAUACAUGGCUGUUGCUGGUUCGGUACUGGUCACCUGCCAUCAUUCCUUGCAUACAUACAUACGUAAACGCACAUGCAAGCACAUGCACCACUGGCGGUAUGUCCACACACACACACACUCUCUCUCGCUCUCUCAAAAACUAAUCCACACACACGCACACACACACACACGCACACACACACACGCACGCACACACACACAUACACACUCUCUCAAAAACGUCUCCUCAACAAUUGUAUCUCUGUGUUUGUGAGCUUGGGAAAGAUUCACCCGCCCCCUAACAUUCACCAGCUCCCACACCGUGUACAUGUGCUGAUGUACUACUCUGUGUUGCUGUAUUACCGUACCUUUGAACGCUCGUCAGAUGCGAAUGGAAGUAUAUCGGCUUUGGAGGGUAGCGGUAUUGAUACCUGGCAAUGGUGGGCACUGCUGCCGGCUCAGCGGCCGGCCCAUUCCCGCCCACCUGCCUUCCUGCUGGAUGUCGCUGGGCAGAGGGCGUCCAGCAGAAGGGCAACGGGCGCAGCUACCGGAACCUGCUCAGGGAGCUGGGCCUGUUUCGGAGC